rnacentral:rRNA from 1 species
UGCAGUCGAGCGAAUCGACGGGAGCUUGCUCCCUGAGAUUAGCGGCGGACGGGUGAGUAACACGUGGGCAACCUGCCUAUAAGACUGGGAUAACUUCGGGAAACCGGAGCUAAUACCGGAUACGUUCUUUUCUCGCAUGAGAGAAGAUGGAAAGACGGUUUACGCUGUCACUUAUAGAUGGGCCCGCGGCGCAUUAGCUAGUUGGUGAGGUAAUGGCUCACCAAGGCGACGAUGCGUAGCCGACCUGAGAGGGUGAUCGGCCACACUGGGACUGAGACACGGCCCAGACUCCUACGGGAGGCAGCAGUAGGGAAUCUUCCGCAAUGGACGAAAGUCUGACGGAGCAACGCCGCGUGAACGAAGAAGGCCUUCGGGUCGUAAAGUUCUGUUGUUAGGGAAGAACAAGUACCAGAGUAACUGCUGGUACCUUGACGGUACCUAACCAGAAAGCCACGGCUAACUACGUGCCAGCAGCCGCGGUAAUACGUAGGUGGCAAGCGUUGUCCGGAAUUAUUGGGCGUAAAGCGCGCGCAGGUGGUUCCUUAAGUCUGAUGUGAAAGCCCACGGCUCAACCGUGGAGGGUCAUUGGAAACUGGGGAACUUGAGUGCAGAAGAGGAAAGUGGAAUUCCAAGUGUAGCGGUGAAAUGCGUAGAGAUUUGGAGGAACACCAGUGGCGAAGGCGACUUUCUGGUCUGUAACUGACACUGAGGCGCGAAAGCGUG